GUCGAACGCUGGCGGCGUGCUUAAUACAUGCAAGUAGAACGCAGUUGCGAACGGGUGAGUAACGCGUAGGUAACUGCCUCAUCGCGGGGGAACACUAUUGGAAACGUUAGCUAAUACCGCAUACUGUGAGAUGGAUGUGCGUUGUAUUAGGUAGUUGUGGUGGUAAAGGCUCACCAAGGCGACGAGACAUUGCCGGCCUGAGAGGUGGUCGGCCCCACAGGGACUUGGUCACGGCCCAGACUCCUACGGGAGGCAGCAGGAGGGAAUCUUCGGCAAUGGAAGGAAGUCUGACCGAGCAACGCCGCGGGAGGGAAGAAGGUUGUCGGAUCGUAAAGCUCUGUUGUUAGAGGAGCGGUAACUAACCAGAAAGGGACGGCUAACUACGUGCCAGCAGCCGCGGUAAUAC
rnacentral:rRNA from 1 species